AACGAACGCUGGCGGCAUGCCUAACACAUGCAAGUCGAACGAGACCUUCGGGUCUAGUGGCGCACGGGUGCGUAACGCGUGGGAACCUGCCCUUAGGUUCGGAAUAACUCCCCGAAAGGGGUGCUAAUACCGGAUAAUGUCUUCGGACCAAAGAUUUAUCGCCUUUGGAUGGGCCCGCGUUGGAUUAGCUAGUUGGUAGGGUAAAAGCCUACCAAGGCGACGAUCCAUAGCUGGUCUGGGAGGAUGAUCAGCCACACUGGGACUGAGACACGGCCCAGACUCCUACGGGAGGCAGCAGUGGGGAAUAUUGGACAAUGGGCGAAAGCCUGAUCCAGCAAUGCCGCGUGAGUGAUGAAGGCCUUAGGGUUGUAAAGCUCUUUUACCCGGGAUGAUAAUGACAGUACCGGGAGAAUAAGCUCCGGCUAACUCCGCG
rnacentral:rRNA from 1 species